rnacentral:rRNA from 1 species
CCCCAGCGCCACGAGUGGGAACCUCAUUUAUUGGGUCUAAAGCGUCCGUAGCUCGUCCGGAAAAUCUCUUGUGAAAUCGUAAAGCUUAACUUUACGGCGUGCAGGAGACACUACCAGACUUGGGACCGGGAGGAGUCAGAGGUAUUCUUGGGGGAGCGGUAAAAUGUAAUAAUCCUAAGAAGACCACCGGUGGCGGAGGCGUCUGACUAGAACGGUUCCGACAGUGAGGGACGAAAGCCAGGGGAGCGAUCCG